AUGACUAAAAGGGAAGUUCAACAGAGAGCUACUGCUGUUAACAGGCCGACACAAUGGCAGCCUCCGUCUGCAAGUUGUGUCAAGAUCAAUGUUGAUGCCGCCACCCCCAGGCAUGCGCGAUAUGGAGCUGUGGGGGCGAUUUGCAGGAGUUCAAAAGGAGUGUUUCUGGGGGCGUCCGUGCUGGCAGUGAAGCACAUAGCUGAUCCACAGAUUCUUGAAGCCAUUGCUAUAAGGGAGGGUUUGGCGCUAGUUGAUGACCUCUAUCAGAGGCGAGUUCAUGUUGCUUCGGACUGCAAAAAUGUGGUGGAGGAUCUAAAGAAGGAGAAUGCAUCAUCUUAUGGAGCCAUAGUGCAUGAAAUAAUAGAUCACUCGUUAGCUUUUGAUUUAUGUAAUUUUUCCCAUGAAUUUAGGAGCUCAAUUUUUUAAGCUCACAACCUAGCGAAGCACGCUCUGUCGCUCGGGAUUGGCCGCCAUGUGUGGUUGGGUCAUCCUGGAGACCUUACUUUCGUCCCUGUAAAUAUUGUGACGACUUAA
rnacentral:rRNA from 1 species